UUGAUUUAAGUUAUUUGUGAACUUACUACGAAGCAAACAAGAAUAUUAUAGUCAAAAAAAAGAUAAUCAAAACUUUUAACAAUGGAUCUCUUGGUUCUCGUAUCGAUGAAGAACGCAGCGAAACGCGAUAUUUCUUGUGAAUUGCAGAAGUGAAUCAUCAGUUUUUGAACGCACAUUGCACUUUGGGGUAUCCCCCAAAGUAUACUUGUUUGAGCGUUGUUUCUCUCUUGGAAUUGCAUUGCUUUUCUAAAAAAUCGAAUCAAAUUCGUUUGAAACUUACAUUUAUUUCAACCUCAGAUCAAGUAGGAUUACCCGCUGUAACUUAAGCAUAUCAAUAACGCGGAGGUAAUCGUUCCCAUUGGUCAUUUAGAGGAAGUAAAAGUCGUAACAAGGUCUCCGUUGGUGAACCAGCGGAGGGAUCAUUACCGAGUUUACAACUCCCAAACCCCUGUGAACAUACCACUUGUUGCCUCGGCGGAUCAGCCCGCUCCCGGUAAAACGGGACGGCCCGCCAGAGGACCCCUAAACUCUGUUUUCUAUAUGUAACUUCUGAGUAAAACCAUAAAUAAAUCA
rnacentral:misc_RNA from 1 species